AUGCAAUUCUUCGCUCUAUGGAUGAUACUAAAUGAGGUCCAUCUAGACGAGAUCACAGAAGAUGAUAUCCUUUGGAAACACACGACCUGUGGACAAUACUCGGCGGCCUCUGCGUACAGGGCACAGUUCCUAGGGACGGUCCUUAUUUCUCCCUUGGACAAAAUGGUUUGGAAGGUUUGGGCACCCCCCAAAGUCAAUUUUUUUGCUUGGUUGGCCCUUCAAAAAAGAAUUUGGACGGCGGAUAGAUUGGCAAAGCGUGGGUGGCCAAACUGCGAUCCCUGCAAGACGGUGCAAGAAUGCGGACCUCAUCUCUUCUACAAGUGCCGCUACACCCGGCAUCUUUGGUCUUUGGUCAUUGAGAAAUUCUACAUGCAUGGGCUUGACACUUCCGCUUGGUCCUUGUUCGACUCGGUGGAGGAGUGGUGGGCAAGCACCUCUGCCUGA
rnacentral:rRNA from 1 species